UAUAGAUUUGAACGGGUCACAUCUUUUUUAUAUAUCAUAUGCCAAUUCGCCACGUGACAAUCCGCCCAUAAAAUCUUGCUUUCGCCUAAUUUUGAGCAGGAACUUGGUACGUAAUGGAUCUUGGGUGGGUAGUGGCAGUUUCAUUUGUUUCAGCCUGUGAUCCAUUUCUUGGAAAAACCAUCAUCAGUUAGGUCAAGUUUCAGACAAUUGCUUCAUAUUCUUGUUCGAAGGAAGAGCAAUGGCAGGAGGGGGUUUCAUGGGAAAAGUCAUCUCCUUUUUCGUCAAUAAGCUGCUUAAGGGCGGGCUUGCCAAAAGCAACUUCCUGCAGAGAUUUGCAGUGAAAGCCACGAAGAAAAUGGUGGAAAAAUCAUAUAAAGGUGUGUGUAUAAUUAUAUCAAAGCUUGAUACGUGAGAAUAAGAAUUGGGCAUUACGCUGUCCAGUCGCUUAUUCUUGUUACUAGUUAGUCAGAGGCGUUCAUUAACCA